CCCUGCCCUGGUGCUGAGGACUGCGGGAGGCCGGUCCCAUGGUGCCUCCGCCUGCCAGCGCAGGGUUCCCUUCAGGGGCUGCUGGCCGAUCCCGACGGGGGCUCUGGAGACCGCGCAUCUGAGGACGACAGCAGCCUUCUCCGAGCGGGUGACAGCAUGGAGCGGGUGACAGCACGGAGGAGCACUGGGCCCACACGGCGUACUCUGGCCCGGAAACUAGGAAGUGUGCAGUUGCAUUAUGGCUAAGAAAAUGUCACCAGGACACAUGUAAUAAAGAAGUUUGAGCUGCUGCAGGAGUGACAUGUGACACCGAGACAUGAGAAACAGUAGUUUUUAGACAUUGGACAAAGAUCACAAGUCACAAUCUGUGAGAGAAGCAAGACAGGGAAGCACUGUGGUUCUCAGCGUUUGGGCUAUCGCG